rnacentral:rRNA from 1 species
CCUACGGGAGGCAGCAGUGAGGAAUAUUGGUCAAUGGGCGGAAGCCUGAACCAGCCAAGUAGCGUGCAGGAUGACGGCCCUACGGGUUGUAAACUGCUUUUAUACGGGAAUAACGCGCCUUACGUGUAGGGCGUUGCAGGUACCGUAUGAAUAAGGACCGGCUAAUUCCGUGCCAGCAGCCGCGGUAAUAAGGAAGGUCCGGGCGUUAUCCGGAUUUAUUGGGUUUAAAGGGAGCGUAGGCCGCAUGUCAAGCGUGCUGUGAAAUGUCCGGGCUCAACCCGGGCCUUGCAGCGCGAACUGGCGUGCUUGAGUCCGCGGAAAGCAGGCGGAAUUCGUCUUGUAGCGGUGAAAUGCUUAGAUAUGACGAAGAACCCCGAUUGCGAAGGCAGCUUGCUGCAGCGGAACUGACGCUGAUGCUCGAAAGCGCGGGUAUCGAACAGGAUUAGAUACCCGUGUAGUC